UAAGGAAUCUUCCGCAAUGGGCGAAAGCCUGACGGAGCGACACCGCGUGGUGGAUGAAGGCCUAUGGGUCGUAAACACCUUUUCUAUGGGAAGAAGAUCUGACGGUACCAUAGGAAUAAGCCCCGGCUAAUUACGUGCCAGCAGCCGCGGUAAUACGUAAGGGGCAAGCGUUAUCCGGAAUUAUUGGGCGUAAAGCGUCUGCAGGUGGAGGCAUAAGUAGGUUAUUAAAUACCGGAGCUCAACUUCGGUGCCGUAAUCUAAACUGUGUUUCUAGAGGGUGGGAGAGGUAUGCGGAAUUGUGCAAGUAGGGGUAAAAUCCGUAGAUAUGCACAGGAACACCAAAAGCGAAG
rnacentral:rRNA from 1 species